UGAAGAGACAGACGAAUGGUUCUCCGUCUUCCACACUGAGGCUUAGAGGAGAAUGGCUUCAUCUUUGAGUCUGUGUGUGUGAGCACACGGAUUGCUUGAGAGUAACCAGAUCCAUAAGGAUGUUCAAAAGAAAGCUUGUAUUGUCCUAUGUCUUGAAGUUCCACGACUGGAGCCCCCUCCCUGGCUUCAAUUUUGGUGCGGUCUCUGCAAAGGAGUCCUGGUUCCAGGCCAUCUGCCAAUUUGCAGGAGCUCCAGCCUCUUCUGAGUUACCGUUUUCUGAUCAAAUCAGACAAGAAGCAUAUGUGAAAUAGUGUGGAGGUGCUGCUGUCUGGUGGCUCAACCCUUGGUAGCUUGCUCAACACUUUGGUGGCUGCAGUUUGAGGAAGGCAUUAUGGAGCUAUCCUAGAAUCAGCACCUCACAUUGGGGACCUGAAACUGAGAGUCACAAGUUGGUCAGUCAUGUGCCCCGGGGCCUCUAUGCCACUGGAACGGAGCCCACUGCACCGUACUCUUCUAUAUUGCUUUUACUAACUAGUUUCUUCAGUAGAACAAAGCUGAAGACUCUAGAUAAACUGAUACAAUUGGGGAUGACAGACCUGUGCAUGUGGGUUGUUGGAUAAACAGAGAAAUAGAGUCAUAGCAACCUGGGUUCUGUGAUGAGACUGUCACCUCUGAGCCAUGCUGAGUAAGAGGAGACUUUCAGAAUACGGACACGAAGGUCUCAAUGGAAUUAAGGAUGACCCAUUUUACUGAUGAGAAAACUGAGACCAAAUUUUAGUUGACUGCAGUAUGCAUAGAUUGGGUGUGUAACACGCAUUGCUUCUCAUACUGACAGAUCCAGAUACACAGGUCAUUGAUGCCUGAUAUGUGAGGCAUCAAUGUGAUAAUCUCUCUGGGGAAAUACAAAACACGGUUUUUGAAAUGGAAUCUAUAAUAAAAUAUCACCAAUGCAAAUUGACCUAGGCUCAUAAAAUAGGGUAGAAAGUUUGACAUUUCAGAGUCAUGUCCAGGAUAUCCAAAACAAAAACAAAAACAAAAACAAAAACAAAAACAAAACAAAAACAAAAAAGCAAAACCAAAACCAAACCAAAAACAGAAGCUGUUAACUAGAGAGUCAGGCCCACUUCACCAAUUUUAAGACGCUACAUUGAGUUUUCUUACUAAUGUAUAGACUGUCAUGCUUUAGUUUAUGUGACACUAAAACAUUGGAUGGAAGGUGGAAAUUUAGCUGUCUUCAAUAAUCUACCUUCCCUAAAUAGGCUGUUAAAAGUCAUCAGAGUGACCCUUUGGAGAGAGAAUCCAUUAAUUGGUCUGUAUGAAAUAGUCUGGAUCUCCCUUUAAUCUCCCUUUAGCCUGUCUUUCCAGUAAGUAUGAAUUCAAAAACAAGUAUUCAUAACAAAACCUUGUAAAAACUCCAAAAGCAUAUUUUUAAAAACACAAUCAAAGCAGUUGAAUAUUAUUGUCAAGGAAUUAUCUACAACAAACAGAAGAUUAACCAUUGUAAUCCCCACAAUUACUUUAUUCAUGGUAAAUUUCCUUAAUUCUAAAAUAAAUUUGUUUAUUAUCUCUGAAUAUAGAAUGUUUAAAAUCAUUUCUCCCUGAUUAAAUGCUAAGUUAUUGAGUUAA